UACAGAGGGUGCAAGCGUUGUUCGGAAUUAUUGGGCGUAAAGAGCUCGUAGGCGGUUUGUCGCGUCGAAUGUGAAAACCCGGGGCUCAACCCCGGGCCUGCAUUCGAUACGGGCAGACUAGAGUUCGGUAGGGGAGUCUGGAAUUCCUGGUGUAGCGGUGAAAUGCGCAGAUAUCAGGAGGAACACCGGUGGCGAAGGCGGGACUCUGGGCCGAUACUGACGCUGAGGAGCGAAAGCGUGGGGAGCAAACAGG
rnacentral:rRNA from 1 species